rnacentral:rRNA from 1 species
UACGAAGGGUGCAAGCGUUACUCGGAAUUACUGGGCGUAAAGCGUGCGUAGGUGGUGAGUUAAGUCUGAUGUGAAAUCCCCGGGCUCAACCUGGGAAUGGCAUUGGAUACUGGCUCGCUAGAGUGCGGUAGAGGGUGGUGGAAUUCCCGGUGUAGCAGUGAAAUGCGUAGAGAUCGGGAGGAACAUCUGUGGCGAAGGCGGCUCACUGGCCCGAUACUGACGCUGAGGUGCGAAAGCGUGGGGAGCAAACAGG